GAUGAACGCUGGCGGCGUGCCUAAUACAUGCAAGUCGAGCGAACGGACGAGAAGCUUGCUUCUCUGAUGUUAGCGGCGGACGGGUGAGUAACACGUGGAUAACCUACCUAUAAGACUGGGAUAACUUCGGGAAACCGGAGCUAAUACCGGAUAAUAUUUUGAACCGCAUGGUUCAAAAGUGAAAGACGGUCUUGCUGUCACUUAUAGAUGGAUCCGCGCUGCAUUAGCUAGUUGGUAAGGUAACGGCUUACCAAGGCAACGAUGCAUAGCCGACCUGAGAGGGUGAUCGGCCACACUGGAACUCAGACACGGUCCAGACUCCUACGGGAGGCAGCAGUAGGGAAUCUUCCGCAAUGGGCGAAAGCCUGACGGAGCAACGCUGCGUGAGUGAUGAAGGUCUUCGGAUCGUAAAACUCUGUUAUUAGGGAAGAACAUAUGUGUAAGUAACUGUGCACAUCUUGACGGUACCUAAUCAGAAAGCCACGGCUAACUACGUG
rnacentral:rRNA from 1 species